rnacentral:rRNA from 1 species
GACGAAUGCUGGCGGCGUGCUUAACACAUGCAAGUCGAACGGUGAAGGAGAGCUUGCUCUCUGGAUCAGUGGCGAACGGGUGAGUAACACGUGGGUAACCUGCCCCUCACUUCGGAAUAACCAUCCGAAAGGAUGGCUAAUACCGGAUAUGGAAACCUGGAGGCAUCUCCGGGUUUGGAAAGUUUUUCGGUGAGGGAUGGACCCGCGGCCUAUCAGCUUGUUGGUGAGGUAAUGGCUCACCAAGGCGAAGACGGGUAGCCGGCCUGAGAGGGCGACCGGCCACACUGGGACUGAGAUACGGCCCAGACUCCUACGGGAGGCAGCAGUGGGGAAUAUUGCACAAUGGGCGAAAGCCUGAUGCAGCGACGCCGCGUGAGGGAUGAAGGCCUUCGGGUUGUAAAGCUCUUUCGCCGACGAAGAUAAUGACGGUAGUCGGAGAAGAAGCCCCGGCUAACUUCGUGCCAGCAGCCGCCGUAAAAC